GCAUGCCUUGAAAGAACAGAUGCCACAAUCCAACAAAAUAAUUAAACAUAAUACAAACAUUGGAAGAGCUCAAUGUCCUUUGCUAAAAGAAUGUUGUUCCCAUUCUGACUUGCUUGGAAAGAAAAGAGGCUCAACUGUGAGAAUGAGAUGGAACACAGCCUUCUUUAUCUUUUAUUUUUCACUCUGAAUUUAUGCAACAUGGAGAGAAGGGAAGGGAAAUGGAAAGGGGGAGACACUGAAAAUAACAUUUUCUCCAAGCUCAUUAUGAUCUAUCUACGCGGCCUCUUACGGGUAAUAUAAGAGCUUUGGUUCUUCAAUUUGCAGAUUCACGGCUGUAAAACAGAUCAAGAGUCUUUGCAGGAAUACGGUGCAGAAGUUCACGAGGGAAAAUACGAAGCAGUGUCCAUGCCAGGUCAAGUGAUUGGAAAAUGUUUCGAGUAUCAUAAGCUCCUUGACUGACAAACUUCCUCUCAAAUUUGUCCAAAAACUCCAAAUAGAGCAGAUCCUCAGAAGAGAGUGCUUCUUCUCCG
rnacentral:misc_RNA from 1 species